UGUUAAUGGUGCCCCGAGGGAGUGUUUGUCGCAUUUACUGAUGAUAUGGGACUAGAAAACACGUGGCCGCCGCUCUGCAGAUGAUGGCGGGGAAAGACUGCGAGGACUGAGAGACACCGAAAUCGCCAUUGCUGUGAGUUGAAGCUGACCCAAGUGGCUGGUGACUGGCCCGCUGUGGUGGAGGCUGCGGGGCUGGCUUGGCAGUAAAGGGACAACUGCUGACUCAGCUUUUCAGUAUUGGUGAGUACCUUGCAUGCCUCGUCGGGGGACAGCUCCGGGGGACCUCAGCAGCGACACCUCCGCAUGGUGUCAAGGUAAAUAAAGAGAACAUCAUUUGUGUGGUUAGGUGGUAGGCACUGCCAGGACCCUAACCUCUGGCUUGUUUUUCAGGUACUCUAAUGUCUGCAGCAUUGAUUUUACAGAUACUUCCUACAGCAGCAAUUCUGUACCAGGAGCUUGAUAGCAUCACUAUCUUCAGGCAGAAGAUUGUCUUCCACAUUCAUUGUGGUCAGUGCAAAUACAGCAACCUUUUGACUAGAAAACUUCAA